rnacentral:rRNA from 1 species
GGAGCACCCUUUGGGGUGUGACUGCGUACCUUUUGUAUAAUGGGUCAGCGACUUAUAUUCUGUAGCAAGGUUAACCGAAUAGGGGAGCCGGAGGGAAACCGAGUCUUAAUUGGGCGUUAAGUUGCAGGGUAUAGACCCGAAACCCGGUGAUCUAGCCAUGGGCAGGUUGAAGGUUGGGUAACACUAACUGGAGGACCGAACCGACUAAUGUUGAAAAAUUAGCGGAUGACCUGUGGCUGGGGGUGAAAGGCCAAUCAAACCGGGAGAUAGCUGGUUCUCCCCGAAAGCUAUUUAGGUAGCGCCUCGUGAAUUCAUCUCCGGGGGUAGAGCACUGUUUCGGCUAGGGGGCCAUCCCGGCUUACCAACCCGAUGCAAACUGCGAAUACCGGAGAAUGUUAUCACGGGAGACACACGGCGGGUGCUAACGUCCGUCGUGAAGAGGGAAACAACCCAGACCGCCAGCUAAGGUCCCAAAGUCAUGGUUAAGUGGGAAACGAUGUGGGAAGGCCCAGACAGCCAGGAUGUUGGCUUAGAAGCAGCCAUCAUUUAAAGAAAGCGUAAUAGCUCACUGGUCGAGUCGGCCUGCGCGGAAGAUGUAACGGGGCUAAACCAUGCACCGAAGCUGCGGCAGCGAACGUAUCACCCAAGACAACUUUGCGGAGUUGACGAUUGACGGAGCGAAGCGACGUCAAAGCGUUCAUUAAAGUCGAGUUGGCUUAGGGAUACGUUCGUUGGGUAGGGGAGCGUUCUGUAAGCCAGUGAAGGUGUGUCGUGAGGCAUGCUGGAGGUAUCAGAAGUGCGAAUGCUGACAUAAGUAACGAUAAAGCGGGUGAAAAGCCCGCUCGCCGGAAGACCAAGGGUUCCUGUCCAACGUUAAUCGGGGCAGGGUGAGUCGACCCCUAAGGCGAGGCCGAAAGGCGUAGUCGAUGGGAAACGGGUUAAUAUUCCCGUACUUGGUGUUACUGCGAAGGGGGGACGGAGAAGGCUAUGUUGGCCGGGCGACGGUUGUCCCGGUUUAAGCGUGUAGGUGUGUGUUCCAGGUAAAUCCGGUUCACUUUAACACUGAGGCGUGACGACGAGGCACUACGGUGCUGAAGCAACAAAUGCCCUGCUUCCAGGAAAAGCCUCUAAGCAUCAGGUAACAUCAAAUCGUACCCCAAACCGACACAGGUGGUCAGGUAGAGAAUACCAAGGCGCUUGAGAGAACUCGGGUGAAGGAACUAGGCAAAAUGGUGCCGUAACUUCGGGAGAAGGCACGCUGACACGUAGGUGAAGUGAUUUACUCAUGGAGCUGAAGUCAGUCGAAGAUACCAGCUGGCUGCAACUGUUUAUUAAAAACACAGCACUGUGCAAACACGAAAGUGGACGUAUACGGUGUGACGCCUGCCCGGUGCCGGAAGGUUAAUUGAUGGGGUCAGCGCAAGCGAAGCUCCUGAUCGAAGCCCCGGUAAACGGCGGCCGUAACUAUAACGGUCCUAAGGUAGCGAAAUUCCUUGUCGGGUAAGUUCCGACCUGCACGAAUGGCGUAAUGAUGGCCAGGCUGUCUCCACCCGAGACUCAGUGAAAUUGAACUCGCUGUGAAGAUGCAGUGUACCCGCGGCAAGACGGAAAGACCCCGUGAACCUUUACUAUAGCUUGACACUGAACAUUGAGCCUUGAUGUGUAG